rnacentral:rRNA from 1 species
AUUGAACGCUGGCGGCAGGCCUAACACAUGCAAGUCGAGCGAGCGGCGGACGGGUGAGUAAUGUCUGGGAAACUGCCUGAUGGAGGGGGAUAACUACUGGAAAAGGUAGCUAAUACCGCAUAACAUCAGAUGUGCCCAGAUGGGAUUAGCUAGUAGGUGGGGUAAUGGCUAACCUAGGCCACGAUCACUAGCUGGUCUGAGAGGAUGACCAGUCACACUGGAACUGAGACACGGUCCAGACUCCUACGGGAGGCAUCAGUGGGGAAUAUUGCACAAUGGGCGCAAGCCUGAUGCAGCCAUGCCGCGUGUAUGAAGAAGGCCUUCGGGUUGUAAAGUACUUUCAGCGAGGAGGCGUUACUCGCAGAAGAAGCACCGGCUAACUCCGUGCCAGCAGCCGCGGUAAUAC